rnacentral:rRNA from 1 species
AGAGUUUGAUCAUGGCUCAGAUUGAACGCUGGCGGUAUGCUUAACACAUGCAAGUCGAACGGUAGCAGGCCUUCGGGCGCUGACGAGUGGCGGACGGGUGAGUAACGCGUAGGAAUCUGCCUCAUAGUGGGGGACAACGUGGGGAAACUCACGCUAAUACCGCAUACGCCCUACGGGGGAAAGCGGGGGCUCUUCGGACCUCGCGCUAUGAGAUGAGCCUGCGUUAGAUUAGCUAGUUGGUGGGGUAAAGGCCUACCAAGGCGACGAUCUAUAGCUGGUCUGAGAGGACGAUCAGCCACACCGGGACUGAGACACGGCCCAGACUCCUACGGGAGGCAGCAGUGGGGAAUAUUGGACAAUGGGCGGAAGCCUGAUCCAGCAAUACCGCGUGUGUGAAGAAGGCCUUAGGGUUGUAAAGCACUUUCAAUUGGGAGGAAAACCUACCGGUCAAUACCCGGUAGCUUGACAUUACCUUUAGAAGAAGCACCGGCUAACUCCGUGCCAGCAGCCGCGGUAAUACGGAGGGUGCGAGCGUUAAUCGGAAUUACUGGGCGUAAAGCGUGCGUAGGCGGUUCGUUAAGUCAGAUGUGAAAGCCCUGGGCUCAACCUGGGAACGGUAUUUUGAAACUGGCGGACUAGAGUUUAGUAGAGGGGAGUGGAAUUUCAGGUGUAGCGGUGAAAUGCGUAGAUAUCUGAAGGAACACUAGUGGCGAAGGCGACUCCCUGGACUAGAACUGACGCUGAGGUACGAAAAGCGUGGGUAGCAAACAGGAUUAUAUACCCUGUUAGUCCACGCCGUAAAACGAUGUUCGACUAGCCGUUGGUUCCUAUUUUACAGGAUUAGUGGCGCAAUCUUAACGCAUUAAGUCGACCGCCUGGGGAGUACGGGCCGCAAGGUUAAAUCUCAAAUGAAUUGACGGGGGCCCUCACAAGCGGUGGAGCAUGUGGUUUAAUUCGAUGCACGCGAAGACUCUUACCCUACCCUUGACAUCCUAAUAUCU